rnacentral:tRNA from 1 species
GUAAAUAUAGUUUAAUAAAAACAUUAGAUUGUGAAUCUAACAAUAGAAGUAUGAAACUCUUAUUUACC